rnacentral:rRNA from 1 species
UACGGAGGAUGCGAGCGUUAUCCGGAUUUAUUGGGUUUAAAGGGUGCGUAGGCGGAAUGGUAAGUCAGUGGUGAAAUCCUGCAGCUCAACUGUAGUUGUGCCAUUGAUACUGUCAUUCUUGAGUACAGAUGAGGUAGGCGGAAUGAGUAGUGUAGCGGUGAAAUGCAUAGAUAUUACUCAGAACACCAAUUGCGAAGGCAGCUUACUAAACUGACACUGACGCUGAAGCACGAAAGCGUGGGUAUCAAACAGG